UGAGGAAUAUUGCGCAAUGGACGAAAGUCUGACGCAGCGACACCGCGUGAAGGAUGAAGGCUUUCGGGUUGUAAACUUCUGUUAAGUGGGAAGAAAGAAUCGAUUCUAAUACAAUCGGAAGAUGACGGUACCACUAGAGAAAGCACCGGCUAACUUCGUGCCAGCAGCCGCGGUAAUACGAGGGGUGCAAACGUUAUUCGGAUUAAUUGGGCGUAAAGGGUGCGUAGGCGGCAUAUUAAGUCAACUGUUAAAUUUCCCGGCCUAACUGGGAUUCUGCGGUAGAUACUGAUGUGCUUGAGGAUGGAAGAGAGAAGUGGAAUUCUCGGAGUAGCGGUAAAAUGCGUAGAUCUCGAGAGGAACACCAAUGGCGAAGGCAGCUUCUUGGUCCAUUUCUGACGCUGAGGCACGAAAGCGCGGGGAGCAAACAGGAUUAGAUACCCCCGUAGUCC
rnacentral:rRNA from 1 species